rnacentral:rRNA from 1 species
GACGAACGCUGGCGGCGUGCUUAACACAUGCAAGUCGAGCGGAGCGGCGAACGGGUGAGUAACGCGUGAGUAACUGCCCCCCUCUCUGGGAUAACAGUUGGAAACGGCUGCGAAUACCGGAUAGUGGGGGAUGAAUCGCGUCCUAUCAGCUUGUUGGUGGGGUAGUGGCCUAGCAAGGCGACGACGGGUAGCCGGCCUGAGAGGGCGACCGGCCACAGUGGGCUGCGGUACGGCCCGAACUCCUACGGGAGGCAGCAGUGGGGAAUAUUGCACAAUGGGCGAAACCCUGAUACAACAACGCCGCGUGGGGAAUGUCGUCCUUCGGGUUGUAAACAGCUUUCAGCCAUGACGCGGUAGCUGCAGAAGAAGCACCGGCUAACUACGUGCCAGCAGCCGCGGUAAUAC